ACUGGUGACUUUAGCGAGGACGUAACACCCGUUCCCAUCCCGAACACGACGGUUAAGGGCCUCAGCGGCGAUGAUACUGCACAAAUGUGUGGGAAAGUAGCACGUUGCCAGUC
rnacentral:rRNA from 1 species